GGAGGGCUCGCCUAGUGGCCGAUGGCGGCGGUCUUGAAAACCGCUAGGGCGGUAACCCCGUCCUCGUGGGUUCGAAUCCCACGCCCUCCGCC
rnacentral:tRNA from 1 species